rfam:Otolemur garnettii contig020978, whole genome shotgun sequence.
GCUGAUGCGGUGGUGCGCACCUGUAGUCCCAGCUACUCAGGAGGCUGAGACAGGAGGAUCGCUUGAGUCCAGGAGUUCUGGCUAUAGUGUGCUUUGCCGAUCUGGUUUCUGCACUAAGUUCGCAUCAAUAUGGUGACCUCCCGGGAGCAGGGGACCACCAGGUUGACUAAGGAGGGGUGAACUGGCCCCGGUCAGAAACAGAGUAGGUCAAAACUCCCAUGUUGAUCAGUAAGGGGUUCGUGCCUGUGAAUAGGCACUGCACUCCAGCCUGGGCAACAUAGCAAGACCCUAUCUAUA